GACGAACGCUGGCGGCGUGCCUAAUACAUGCAAGUUGAGCGCUGAAGGUUGGUACUUGUACCAACUGGAUGAGCAGCGAACGGGUGAGUAACGCGUGGGGAAUCUGCCUUUGAGCGGGGGACAACAUUUGGAAACGAAUGCUAAUACCGCAUAAAAACUUUAAACACAAGUUUUAAGUUUGAAAGAUGCAAUUGCAUCACUCAAAGAUGAUCCCGCGUUGUAUUAGCUAGUUGGUGAGGUAAAGGCUCACCAAGGCGAUGAUACAUAGCCGACCUGAGAGGGUGAUCGGCCACAGUGGGACUGAGACACGGCCCAAACUCCUACGGGAGGCAGCAGUAGGGAAUCUUCGGCAAUGGACGAAAGUCUGACCGAGCAACGCCGCGCGAGUGAAGAAGGUUUUCGGAUCGUAAAACUCUGUUGGUAGAGAAGAACGUUGGUGAGAGUGGAAAGCUCAUCAAGUGACGGUAACUACCCAGAAAGGGACGGCUAACUACGUG
rnacentral:rRNA from 1 species